CCGCUCUGAGUUCAGCUGGUAGAACGUAGGUAUCCAAAAACCUAUGUCGUAGGUUCGACUCCUACAGAGCGUA
rnacentral:tRNA from 1 species